GAAAGCCAUAGGGGACCCCCAUGUCAUGUUCUAUAUAUUUCAUUGAAAAACGAUCUUGACCUGGUCAUGUUAUCAAUCCUGACCAUGUCAAGAUUUAAACAUGACCAAGUCAGGAUUUUUACCAUCUUGACCUGGUCAGGAUUGAUAACAUGACCAUCCUAUCCUGACCAAGUCAUGUUUCAAUGUUGACCAAGUCAAGAUUGGUAACAUGGCCAUCUUAUCCUGACCAAGUCAGGAUUUACAACAUGGCCAUCCUAUCUUGGCCAGGUCAUGAUUCAAUCUUGACCAAGUCAGGAUUGAUAACAUGGCUUAGUCAGGAUUGAUAACACGACCAAGUCAAGAUUGACAACAUGGCCAUCCUAUCUUGGCCAGGUCAGGAUUGAACAUGGCGCAGUCAAGAUUGAUAACAUGGCCAAGUCAAGAUUGAUAACAUGACCAUCCGGUCUUGGCCAGGUCAGGAUUGAUAACAUGGCCAAGUCAAGAUUGAUAACAUGGCCAAGUCAAGAUUGAUAACAUGACCAUCCAAUCUUAGCCGGGUCGGGUCAUGAUUCAAUGUUGACCGAGUCAGGAUUGACAACAUGACCAUCUAUCUUGGUCGGUCAUGAUUGCAUUGCGCCAGCAUAUAUUACUUCCAAACGCAGUCAAGAUUUCUUCAAGCGUCAAUCCUGGCCAAGUCGGGAUGCAAUGUCAAGCGUCAAUCUUGGCUUAGUCAUGAUGUGUUUUUCAAACGCAGGCAAGAUUUAUGGUCAUGAUUGCAUUGCGCCAGGAUGUAUGACUUCCAAGCGCUGUCAAGAUUGCAAAUGCAAAGCGCUUCCCUAACAACGAAAACCCGCUAAAAACAUGAAAAAUGUGUAUUGGAUUUGCUCCUCAGCUGACAGUGACAAAUAACUACUAGGUUGCAGUGACUAGGUUGUACUGAACCAUCAACAAAACUCCAGAUAUCCAUGGCGCAUACAAUAUUUUAAGAUUGGUUAAAGACCUACAGUAUCUCAGAUUGACACAUGCUGACUGGAGUCUAUGGCUAUGGGAACCAUUUUGCAGUAAUUAAGAAUGUGCAGGAGAAAGUGGUACACUUCAUUUCAAUCGCAUCUUUCGACAAGCGGAAAUCCAUGGUCUACCUUGAAUAAGUUUAUUUGGCACCAAGACAACCUUUCUCCAAGGUCAAAGAUCAAAGGCCAGAAGUGAUGUCAGCUGGAAAGACACCACAUUGGGUCAAAGAUCAAAGGCCAGAACUGAUGUCAGCUGGAAAAAUACCACAUUGUGUAUUGGAUUUGCAAGAUAUUUAAUCAAUGCACCACUUUCAAGUUCAAAGGAUUGAUAUGGAAGCCUGGAUGUUUAGCUAUGCCAGCGGUUUCAUUCCCUGUGGAUAUUAUGUGGACAUUGAUGGCCAUUGGGUGCUUGAUGCAAUGCAAUGAUGACAUUUUGUAGACUGUAGAAUUCACUUGCAUAUUAUGACAAGAGAUUGCCUUGGAAGAACAAUCUGAGUUGAGUUUAGCUAGUUUUAAUUUUUUUAAAUCAAUGUAUUUUUGUCAAAAUUUGUAUGCUGAUGAGAGCCAUUAAAAUGUAUAAAUAUUUUUUUAUCUUGACCUUUUUUGAACUCACUUUUUUUCAAAUUUGUUUUAGUGUAGAUUCAAAGAAACUCUUUCAGAUUGUCUUUUUUUCCUAUUUAAGCUAAAGCAAGCAUACAUUAUCAACUGUGUCCAUUUUUUAUCUUGACCUUUCAAGUGUCCUUUGAAUUUACUGUAUCAUUUAUUGUACAUUAAACUCAGUU